rnacentral:antisense_RNA from 1 species
AUUAACUAAAUAUAACAUUUGAGCUAAGAGUCAAGUUGGUAAUUUUUCUUAUAUCUACCGCUUUCGGAGCCCAGGUAUCAUACACACCUCCAAAAUAAAGAGUCUUGAAUAUUAGAAGAAAAACACCUAUACUUAACAAAAUUAAAUGAAUACCCAAAAUUAUGGUCAUUUUAUUUCUAUCUUUCCA